CUGAGGAUGCAGCUAAAGCAAACAUGCUAAGAGCUAGUGAGCUAUGUAAGGAAAUCAAAGCUGUCCAGGAGUCCAUUGGACAGGUGAAGUUUGCAUCUGUAGAAACCCAGCAAGAUGAAGCAAACAUACAUGCUGAAAAUUAAGGAUGUUCAGAAGCAAUUACAUAAAGCUAAGCUUGAAGAAUCUGCAAAGAAAUUGCUUGCUUAUAUAGCUUUGAAGGAGGAAGUUGAUCCUAAGCUCACUGAACAACUUGAAUCUGAGUUGGCUGAAGCAACCACAGCGAUAGGAGUUGUACGUAAAGAGAGAUCGACAGUGCAAGAACUUCAGAUCUUGAUUCUGUGAAAUUAGCUGUCACUUCAGAGCUGGAGUUGGUCGAGGCAGUGAAAGCUAGCUAGUGAGAAUGAGGCCCUCAAGAGAUUGGAGGCUGCAUAGAAGGAGAUCCAAGAGAUAAAAGCUUCAACACAGUAAUCAUUGAAGAAACCUGAGAUGGCUGAGGCAGCCAAAAAGGCAGUAGAGGGAGAGCUCAGCGUGAACAAAAGAAGGCAGCAGAAACUGCAUCUUGAUCGGAUACCGGCAGAAACAGAAAAGUCAAUAGAGUCAUCACCCAACCACCAUAGUCUCCAAAAUCAUUACCAACCAGAGAAAGUAGAGAAAUCGAGCAAGCUGGAAAUUAAAGGCUAAGACCUCUAUAACAAAAAAAGUUCUAGUACCUAAUCUCAGUGGGUGGAUGGCGGGUCUUAUCUCCCAGGCGAGAGACCAUUUUGAUGCAUAUCUGUGACCAAAAAUUUAAGCAACUAUGAAGCUUGAGCUAACAUUUUGGGUUUGGUUUAGACUGAAUGUAACAUAUUUUGGAUUGUUUUUUUCUUUCCUUUUUACAUGGAACGGGUGAUAUAUUUGGCGGUAAUGGAUUGAAAUAGACUGUAUUUUUACUCGUUUGUUUU
rnacentral:lncRNA from 1 species